rnacentral:rRNA from 1 species
AUUGAACGCUGGCGGCAGGCCUAACACAUGCAAGUCGAGCGAGCGGCGGACGGGUGAGUAAUGUAUGGGGACUGCCCGAUAGAGGGGGAUAACUACUGGAAACGGUGGCUAAUACCGCAUACUAUCGGAUAACCCAUAUGGGAUUAGCUAGUAGGUGGGGUAAAGGCUCACCUAGGCGACGAUGUCUAGCUGGUCGGAGAGGAUGAUCGCCCACACUGGGACUGGGACAGGGCCAAAACUCCUACGGAGGCGGCGGGGGGGAAUAUUGCACAAGGGGCGAAGGCCUGAUGCACCCAUCCCGCGUGUAUGAAGAAGGCCUUAGGUUGGUAAAGUACUUUCAGCGGGGAGGCGUUACCCGCAGAAGAAGCACCGGCUAACUCCGUGCCAGCAGCCGCGGUAAUAC